rnacentral:rRNA from 1 species
GACGAACGCUGGGCGGCGUGCUUAAAACAUGCAAGUCGAACGGACUUCUCAUGAAGCUUGCGAUUGAGAAGUUAGUGGCGGACGGGUGAGUAACGCGUGGGCAACCUGCCCCUGAGCCCGGGAUAACAGUUCGAAAGGACUGCUAAGACCGGAUAUACUUGCGGGGAAGCAUUUCACUGCAAGGAAAGGGAACGCUCAGGGAUGGGCCCGCGUCCCAUUAGCUAGUUGGUGAGGUAACGGCCCACCAAGGCGACGAUGGGUAGCCGGCCUGAGAGGGUGAACGGCCACACUGGGACUGAGACACGGCCCAGGCUCCUACGGGAGGCAGCAGUUGGGAAUCUUCGGCAAUGGGCGCAAGCCUGACCGAGCAACGCCGCGUGAGUGAUGAAGGUUUUCGGAUUGUAAAGCUCUGUCUUCCGGGACGAUAAUGACGGUACCGGAGGAGGAAGCCACGGCUAACUACGUG